rnacentral:rRNA from 1 species
AUUGAACGCUGGCGGCAGGCCUAACACAUGCAAGUCGAACGAAGUCUUCGGACUUAGUGGCGGACGGGUGAGUAACACGUGGGAACGUGCCUUUAGGUUCGGAAUAACUCAGGGAAACUUGUGCUAAUACCGAAUGUGCCCUUCGGGGGACAGAUUUAUCGCCUUUAGAGCGGCCCGCGUCUGAUUAGCUAGUUGGUGAGGUAAAGGCUCACCAAGGCGACGAUCAGUAGCUGGUCUGAGAGGAUGAUCAGCCACAUUGGGACUGAGACACGGCCCAAACUCCUACGGGAGGCAGCAGUGGGGAAUCUUGCGCAAUGGGCGAAAGCCUGACUCAGCCAUGCCGCGUGAAUGAUGAAGGUCUUAGGAUUGUAAAAUUCUUUCACCGGGGACGAUAAUGACGGUACCCGGAGAAGAAGCCCCGGCUAACUUCGUGCCAGCCGCCGCUGUAAGAC